rnacentral:lncRNA from 1 species
ACCGCGAGGCUCGUGAGCCUACACGAGAAGAGCUUCCACUGGCUUCUCCACGGCGACCCGACGUCGCAUAAGGCAAACACGGAGGUGGACAUCAACACGGGGCUCCUCGCACCCAAUCUCCCCUAUCUAGCUUCGCCCAUGACCAGAGAGGAACUUUUGGAACAAUUGGCCCCCAAUAUAAAUAUCUCUUGAUGCUUGUUAUGCUUGGUAUCAAACACAAACACGGCCCUGCUUGGCUGCUAGACAAAUCCCUCUUGACCCCUCUAAUUGAUUAUUUAUAAUAAUUCCCUAUUAUUAUUUAUACAUGAAAUGUUGUAUAUAUAUAAUCAUAUGAUCUAGUGGAACUGGUCAACAACCAACACUCGUGGUACUUCUGAGCAAUAAGUGUUGUAUAAGAAUAACUUAACUCUAAUUUUGAGCCAGAAAACAAAAAUAAAUAACAAGCUUGUUGGCGGUAAAAGACAUUAGACAAUAGACAUCACACAUGCCUUGAGAAAUAAGGAAUUUAUUUUGGUUAAUAUAGGCAACACUUUAGUCUUCAGAUUAACCAACACCAAAUAAAAUGAAUAUUGAAAAAUUGCGCAGUGAAAUUUAUGCAGCGAUCAAGUAAGUAUGUAUUUUACUUUUCUUGGUUUCGACUUUCGACAAACAUAUACUCGUUUUUUUCUUUUGAUAAUGAUUAUUUCCUUCUGUAAUUUCAUUUUUAGAUUCAACAUGUUGUUAGCAUUUAACUAAAAUCCUAUGUGACUGGAAUAUAAAAAAGAAUGGAUGAUUGGUCACCACAAGAAAGAUUUUUAGCCAUCGGUAAUUAUACUGAAGAAAAAAGAUAAGGAGUUCAUUUGAAUAUUAUGUUAUAUUUGUAUUCUUGGUAUGUUCUAGUAUACAUAAUUGGUCGUGGAUGCUAAUUCUGAAGAUGAGAAAGUGGACAGCACGAAAUAAAAAAAACAAUGGCAAAGACCAAGAAAGAAGAGGACGACCAGCUAACUUGUGGCACUGCGUAAAUUUGUCUAUCAUGGGUUCGAUUCAUGCUACGGGAUGAGCCGAUAAAUAUAAGGAAAGAAAAGAACAAAACAUUGGUUCAAAAAGAAUCUAAACUUAAACCUGAACUAAGACAAACCAAAAUCUUUCUCAAUUGAUUGACGCAUCGGUGAUGAUUUUAUAGACCGAACAUAAUGGCUCCUGACAUAUGCAUAGGAUAUGGCCCCAUAUCAAACAUUACGUGUCCAGUAAGCUAAUGAUCAGUUAAUAGCAAAUCUGCAUCAUCAAGCACGUUCCUUCAGUUUCAAGCUAAUGAUAUCAUCAUCAGAUGCAUAUAUAUGGUAUAUGAUUGGUGUUAGAGUUGACUAACAAGGAAGUUUAGUUUCAAUGUAGAACACAUUGCUUAGAUACAUCAAAGAGAUACCUCACUGAAUUUUUGUUAAUCAACACACAAAUUUCAUAGAUUAUUGUACUCCCUCCAGAGAUAAAGUACACGAGUACAAUCUUCUCGAUCAAUCAGUUGUAUUGUAUACUCAAAGACCCUUUGAAAGAGAGAGAUAUAACUCCUAUAAGCAGAGUCUUUUACAUUCAAGAACAACAUGACAAGAGAUAAACACCAACAAUAAACACACAAAAGCAAAAACAACAACAAUAGAACUCAGCAAACAGUAAGAUUCAUUGCAUCAACGUAAGCUUAGCUUCGAACACAAACCCACGACACAACCCAUCACCAUAACCAGAAACACCAUCAACCCAUCUCCACCCUUCCCAACAAUCCCACAUCGCAAGCUUCCCCAUCCUCUUAGCAGAGAAGUAAACCCUAUCACCACCUCCAAACACCUUAAACUUACUCGACUCUUGAAACCCUCUGUACAUCUCAAGCGGCAUCCUCCCAGCUUCCUCCCACUCCAAGCUCUCUAAGCAAAGCCUAAGUAUCAGAAUCGUCGAACACGCCGGGUUCAACGAGAACGUCGACUUCAACCCCCCAAUCAUCAGCAGCUUAGACUCUCCUUCCCCGCGCAGCAAACGCGGUCGUUUUAUAAUAUCGAAGAUAUCUCCCCACUCGUGCUUCUCCAAGCAAGUCCAGUUGGUGUGAGUCACCGCGAGGCUCGUGAGCCUACACGAGAAGAGCUUCCACUGGCUUCUCCACGGCGACCCGACGUCGCAUAAGGCAAACACGGAGGUGGACAUCAACACGGGGCUCCUCGGUUUCGACGGCAAGUUCGAUGAGAAUUUGAGCCACUGGUUAGCCACCACCGCGCCUGAGUAAUACAGAGCGGCUAGCUCGGUGAGGACCAUGACUCUGUUAACCGAGUCGACGAGAACAGUCCCGUGCCGCGACCAAGCCGAGCCGAGCUGAGGCAACACCUUGCUACUAAGUAUCAUUUCUACUUUUAAUUGGCUGCUAUGAGCCUAUGAUUACUAUAUUACUUGGCAGAAUAUAAAAUAUUCUUACAUUCUCAAAUACAUAAUAAUCUACUUUGAAGAAAAUCUAUCAGCAGUAUUCAGCACUACACAGAAAUAUAGCGGAUGAAGUAUAUAUAUAUAUAUAUAUGUGUGUACAUAUAAGGAUAAACUCAGUUUAGUAAAGUUGUUUACAUCAGAAAUCACUUAAUUUGGAGUCACGUGAAUCAUUUUGUCUAGAAUUGCUAGGAAAAGAUCAUAAUGACUUAGCUUCAAUAUAAUGGAAACCAACUUUAGAUUCUUUUUUUUUUUGGUAAAAUGUUAAAUAUUAUACCAAUUUUUAAUUUUUAAAGCUUCCCCAUCCUCUUAGCAGAGAAGUAAACCCUAUCACCACCUCCAAACACCUUAAACUUACUCGACUCUUGAAACCCUCUGUACAUCUCAAGCGGCAUCCUCCCAGCUUCCUCCCACUCCAAGCUCUCUAAGCAAAGCCUAAGUAUCAGAAUCGUCGAACACGCCGGGUUCAACGAGAACGUCGACUUCAACCCCCCAAUCAUCAGCAGCUUAGACUCUCCUUCCCCGCGCAGCAAACGCGGUCGUUUUAUAAUAUCGAAGAUAUCUCCCCACUCGUGCUUCUCCAAGCAAGUCCAGUUCGUGUGAGUCACCGCGAGGCUCGUGAGCCUACACGAGAAGAGCUUCCACUGGCUUCUCC